rnacentral:rRNA from 1 species
AACAGGAUUAGAUACCCUGGUAGUCCACGCCGUAAACGAUGUCGACUUGGAGGUUGUUCCCUUGAGUAGUGGCUUCCGGAGCUAACGCGUUAAGUCGACCGCCUGGGGAGUACGGCCGCAAGGUUAAAACUCAAAUGAAUUGACGGGGGCCCGCACAAGCGGUGGAGCAUGUGGUUUAAUUCGAUGCAACGCGAAGAACCUUACCUACUCUUGACAUCCACGGAAUUCGGCAGAGAUGCCUUAGCGCCUUCGGGAACCGUGAGACAGGUGCUGCAUGGCUGUCGUCAGCUCGUGUUGUGAAAUGUUGGGUUAAGUCCCGCAACGAGCGCAACCCUUAUCCUUUGUUGCCAGCGAUUCGGUCGGGAACUCAAAGGAGACUGCCGGUGAUAAACCGGAGGAAGGUGGGGAUGACGUCAAGUCAUCAUGGCCCUUACGAGUAGGGCUACACACGUGCUACAAUGGCGCAUACAAAGAGAAGCGACCUCGCGAGAGCAAGCGGACCUCAUAAAGUGCGUCGUAGUCCGGAUCGGAGUCUGCAACUCGACUCCGUGAAGUCGGAAUCGCUAGUAAUCGUGGAUCAGAAUGCCACGGUGAAUACGUUCCCGGGCCUUGUACACACCGCCCGUCACACCAUGGGAGUGGGUUGCAAAAGAAGUAGGUAGCUUAACCUUCGGGAGGGCGCUUACCACUUUGUGAUUCAUGACUGGGGUGAAGUCGUAACAAGGUAACC